rnacentral:rRNA from 1 species
GCGAACGGGGACCAGCCGAGCGAUGAGAGUGACAAGAACAACCUGGAAAGGUUGGCCAGAGUGGGUGACAGCCCCGUAUUGGAAGCUCAAUUCGACGUAUUAAGUAGGGCGGGACACGUGAAAUCCUGUCUGAACAUCGGAGGACCACCUUCGAAGGCUAAGUACUCCUUACUGACCGAUAGCGAACCAGUACCGUGAGGGAAAGGUGAAAAGCACCCCGACGAGGGGAGUGAAACAGUACCUGAAACCGAACGCCUACAAUCAGUCGGAGCUUGACU